rnacentral:sRNA from 1 species
UCUUGGCUAUCGGAGUACACAUCGAAAAUCACCCUGUGCAGAUGUUCUCGCACGUAGUCUGGUUCUCCUUACGAGAACGCCAUAUUGGUAAAGUGGGGUUGGACAAUUAUAGUACCAAUACCAUUUUAGACUGGUUAAGGGUUGCUGGAAUUCAGCCGGUGCAUGUUCUCAGGGUUUCGCGAUAAUCUGAAUUGCCAGGGAUUUCAUGCUCUGUCAUCCCUCCAAGCUCCGAGGUUACGUCCAUUUUUUGAUGUGAAUAUCGAGGCUUUGGUGGCGUGAAGUUCCCAGACAUCUUACCAUUUUCAUAGAUUUCUACUGGAUUGAGGUUUAUUGAACGAAAGGGGACGGAUUCAACUAGUGCCUGGCUGGGAAAGCGGUCAUCACACUGGUUCAGAAUAUUGAUUGAAAUGUAGAUUGCACAACCACAACAAAUAUCCAAAUCCAACUUCAAUUGGAAUAUGAUGAUAUUGAUAGAAAUGCUGAGCUGGUACCCUCGAGGGAUAACCCACAACUCUUCUAAAACAGAAC